ensembl:lincRNA
UGGAGAUUAAGUCUCGCCCUGUCACCCAGGCUGGAGUGCAGUGGUGCGAUCUCAGCUCACUGCAACCUUCACUUCCCGGUUCAAGCGAUUUUCCUGCCUCAGCUUCCCGAGUAGCUGGGACUACAGGUGCACAACGCCACGCCCAGUUAAUUUUUAUAUUUUUAGUAGAGACAGGGUUUCAUCCUGUUGGCCAGGAUGGUCUCAAUCUGUUGAUCUCCUGAUCCACCCGCCUCGGCCUCCCAAAGUGCUAGGAUUACAGGCGUAAGCCACCGCACCCAGCCCUCCUUCUCUUUAUUUCUAUCGUUUCUUGUGUCAUUCCUGUCUUACUUUCUGCCUCACUGCCUGUCUUUUGUUAUUUCUUUCCUGUUUGCUUCUUUGAUCUUUUACUUUUUCUUGUAUUUUUUUGAAUGGUGGAGAGGUUGUGGCCCAGUCAAACUGGUUCUUCUGCUUUUGAUAUAUAAACAAUCUUUAACCCAAUAUUGAAUGUACUUAGCUUUGUAGAAGGAUGCAGGGCGGGGCUACAGCAGACAUUGCAUCUUCCUCUCCUGAGGAAGCCCAGCAGCCACCAAGGUGCAGCUCCCCAUUCCCAUACCCCUGCCAGAGGUGAGAUACUGCGGUGAUGUGUUUAAAGCAGGAAAGGCUGCAGACACACCUUUCAAGACCUGGAUGUACUAGCAGCUGACUUCGGCUCUACCUGCAGCUUUAAAAAUGGGCUGUGCUGUCCACAGUAUAUCCAUGGUUGGCCUUGGCAGGGCUCUCCAAUCACCUGAAGCCUAGCCCCAUGGAGGACUAAUAGAGCUCAAUGGGGGGCUUCAUGUUCCUAGGAGAAUUAGGGAGGGGACCGGGAGUCACGGGAUUUCCCACGUGCCAGACUGCAAUCCUGUUGGGUACCUACCUGCCUGCCCCUGCAGGGAUGGAUGCUCUCGCACCUGCACUCCGGGAGCAGAAACGAUGGGGAGUUUCUGACCCUGCUGCAUCCUUGGGCUUGCAGAGGCUGUCUCUGAAGCAUCACGAGCCGGUCCCAACACGAACGUGGAGGAGCCCGCAGCAGCAUUUCCUGCAACACCAGCCUCGCUCUGCUGGCGCACAGACCCAGGCAUCCGGCCGGGUCCCCGCAGCCCGUGUGCCCGCUCCCGCCUCCGCCAGCAGAGGGAGCGCGCGGCCCCGCCCAGGCACCUGGCGGUGACACCUGCCAGCUUCAGCUCCUGCCCAUCAGCGCU